UAUGGCGACCGGCGCACGGGUGAGUAACACGUAUCCAACCUGCCUCAUACUCGGGGAUAGCCUUUCGAAAGAAAGAUUAAUACCCGAUAGUCAUAGUCCUACCGCAUGAUGGGAUUAUUAAAGAAUUUCGGUAUGGGAUGGGGAUGCGUUCCAUUAGUUAGUUGGCGGGGUAACGGCCCACCAAGACAACGAUGGAUAGGGGUUCUGAGAGGAAGGUCCCCCACAUUGGAACUGAGACACGGUCCAAACUCCUACGGGAGGCAGCAG
rnacentral:rRNA from 1 species